rnacentral:rRNA from 1 species
AUUGAACGCUGGCGGCAGGCCUAACACAUGCAAGUCGAGCGGAGCGGCAGACGGGUGAGUAAGGAUUAGGAGUGAGCCUGCUUGUGGGGGGGAAAGUCCGGCAACGGGCGCUAUUACCUCAUACUAUCAGAUGAGGCUAGGUCGGAUUAGCUAGUUGGUGGGGUAAGGGCCUACCAAGGCGACGAUCCGUAACUGGUCUGAGAGGAUGAUCAGUCACACUGGAACUGAGACACGGUCCAGACUCCUACGGGAGGCAGCAGUGGGGAAUAUUGGACAAUGGGCGAAAGCCUGAUCCAGCCAUGCCGCGUGUGUGAAGAAGGUCUUCGGAUUGUAAAGCACUUUAAGUUGGGAGGCGUUACCCACAGAAUAAGCACCGGCUAACUUCGUGCCAGCAGCCGCGGUAAUUC